GUCUGGACUUCGCCAAGCGCGGGGGGACAUGCGGGUCGGCGCGCGACUGCCCCGCUAUUCUGCAGCUGAUCCUCAGCGGACCCAGCACGCAGGAGAUCCAGAACAUCCGGGACAGCGUCUGCGGCUUCCGGGGCCGGCGUCCGUUGGUCUGCUGUGCCCGGGAGCUGCCCGCGACCGAGGCUCCCGCGACUGAGGCCCCCGCCACCGAGGCCCCCGCCACCGAGGCCCCCGCCACCGAGGCCCCGAACACUGAGGCCCCGCCGACCGAGCCAGUCGAGACCGGACCUCCCCGCACUAACCCGGGAGCCAGCAGCAACACGUCCGGCGGCGACGUUCAACACCCCAACCGACACCUGCUGUCGACCAAGGGCUCAGG